rnacentral:rRNA from 1 species
UUCCGGUUGAUCCUGCCAGACCCGACUGCUAUCGGAUUGAGACUAAGCCAUGCGAGUCAACCCGCAAGGGUGGCGGACGGCUCAGUAACACGUAGUGAACCUGCCCUGGGGACGUGGACAACCAUGGGAAACUGUGGCUAAACCGCGAUAGGUCAUUGUUUCUGGAAUGGGCAAUGGCUCAAACCUACAUGGCCCCAGGAUGGCACUGCGGCCGAUCAGGUUGUUGGUGAGGUAAUGGCCCACCAAGCCUGUAACCGGUACGGGCUCUGAGAGGAGGAGCCUGGAGAUGGGCACUGAGACAAGGGCCCAGGUCCUAUGGGACGCAGCAGGCGCGAAACCUUCGCAAUAGGCGAAAGCCUGACGAGGUUAUUCCGAGUGUUCCCUGCUAAAGGGAUCUUUUGCCAGCUCUAAAAAUGCUGGUGAAUAAGGGGUGGGCAAGCCUGGUGUCAGCCGCCGCGGUAAUACCAGCACCCCGAGUGGUCGGGAUGAUUAUUUGGCCUAAAGCAUCCGUAGCCGGCGCAUCAAGUCUUCCGUUAAAUCCACCUGCUCAACAGAUGGGCUGCGGGAGAUACUGCUGCGCUAGGAGGCGGGAGAGGCGAGGGGUAUUCCAUGGGUAGGGGUAAAAUCCUCUGAUCCAUGGAGGACCACCAGUGGCGAAGGCGUCUCGCCAGAACGCGCUCGACGGUGAGGGAUGAAAGCUGGGGGAGCAAACCGGAUUAGAUACCCGGGUAGUCCCAGCUGUAAACGAUGUAGGCUCGGUGAUGGACUGGAUUCGAUCCAGCCCAGUGCCGCAGGGAAGCCGUUAAGCCUACCGCCUGGGGAGUACGGUCGCAAGACUGAAACUUAAAGGAAUUGGCGGG